GCUCGUUUGUGCCUGGAGCUCCUUUUCUGAAGAGAUUCAUGGUCGGAAUCAGUCUUGUCUUCCUCUGUUGGCUUGUGACCCUCUUCAGAGCCAGGGUGGAGGAGUCCUGUUCUUCACGUGUGACCUCCCAACUUCCUCUAUGGGUGCCAUCUUCUUGACGCCGUUCUGUAGCUGUGGAUGGCCAAGGCAAACUCCACCCAGCCUGGAUUGCUGGGUUGUGGCCGAUGAGUUCCCUCCACCAUCAGACUGGACUUGCUACCAGAACUGCGACCCAGAGUAAGUUCCAGAACAUCCAGGAGCCAGAGAUACAUAGAGAGACCCUGCCCCCCCAAAAAUGGGGUAUCUUGCUGUGAGGGGACAUUUGCUCUGCGAACCUCAGCCAGAACAACAUGUUGCAGCUGUUAAAUGUAGAAGCAGCUAUGAGUCCAGAUGUCUCUUAUUAGGACAGACAUUAAGGCGCUUGCCAAAAAUACC